AGAUUGAAGGGGGCUGCUCCUAGUACGAGAGGACCGGAGUGGACGAACCUCUGGUGUUCGGGUUGUGUCGCCAGACGCAUUGCCCGGUAGCUAAGUUCGGAAUUGAUAAGCGCUGAAAGCAUCUAAGCGCGAAGCGAGCCCUGAGAUGAGUCUUCCCUGAUACUUUAAGUAUCCUAAAGGGUUGUUCGAGACUAGAACGUUGAUAGGCAGGGUGUGUAAGCGUUGUGAGGCGUUGAGCUAACCUGUACUAAUUGCCCGUGAGGCUUAACCAU
rnacentral:rRNA from 1 species